rnacentral:rRNA from 1 species
UAGCCUACGGGAGGCAGCAGUGAGGAAUAUUGGUCAAUGGGCGGGAGCCUGAACCAGCCAAGUCGCGUGAGUGAAGAAGUAUCUCGGUACGUAAAGCUCUAUCAGCAGGGAAGAAAAUGACGGUACCUGACUAAGAAGCCCCGGCUAACUACGUGCCAGCAGCCGCGGUAAUACGUAGGGGGCAAGCGUUAUCCGGAUUUACUGGGUGUAAAGGGAGCGUAGACGGAGGAGCAAGUCUGAUGUGAAAAUCCGGGGCCCAACCCCGGAACUGCAUUGGAAACUGUUUAUCUAGAGUGUCGGAGAGG